CUUGGCUAAACGUAAGAGAAACCAGCAGUUAAGGGGAGAUCAACAAGAAACUAACACUGAUUUUAGCCUUUAUUUUUCUUUUGACUCAAAAGAAUGACUGCUAAACAGCUGCAUUGGGACAUCAAAAUUACACUGCUGACAGCUGCUUCAAUGUGUUGCCAACAGCUCUUCCAAGCAAAGCCAACCGGAGCCCAGGGAUGGCAGCAGUACUAUGUCUUGAUGUGAACAAUUCCUACAAUCGCCAAAAGGGCAACAUCUCCCUCUCUGCCUGCACGCAGUAUCAAAUGGAGGAAACCCUGAUGAACGUUCUGCUAUUUUAACGUGGAUGGCAUUCCAGAACCACUCACUUCCUCGUCAAUCUGGGACAGCUUGAGGGAUGCAGAUCUGGAGCUCUCGGAGGCGUAGUUCAGGGGGAAGCUGAAGGACAGAAAGAGGAUUUGUAAAAUGACAAAGCAAAGCAGGGGACAGAGCUCUAUCCUGAUUUCAGGGUUCAGAAAAAUGACAGUUUCUAUACACUGUAAACCUAUAUGUGUAACUACUACUUCUGGAGUCUGCAGCCCUUGACCACUGAGGGCACUGGCACCUUUACUGCAAAACAGAUGAAAGCAUCACGAAUAUCCCCUUGUGAACAGCUGUCUGCCUGUUUCUGGAGCUCUGCAGAAGCUUUCACCCAGAAAAGAAAUCCUUUAUGUUCAUUACUGGGUAGCACUACUCCAUCUCUAUUACCAAGGUCUUGUUGGUGACGCCAUCCAGCCAUCCAUAGGCGUGUCAAGAGCUCCGUCUCUGUCAUGGUCUUACCGUAUAACUGGGACAGAUGCCCUGACUGUAAAGUGUCACUGCAGCAAGAUGGCUCUUCAGACGUUAGCUGAGACAAACAGGUAAUUUUUCAUGUUCUAGAUAUGGCAGAGGGAGGAAAUACAGUUCCUGGUCCUCACACUUCAAGAUAAAAGAAAUGAGAAACUCCCACCAUCUUCACAGGGCACUCUAAGAUGUACUUGGCCUUCUACCCUUUCCUUGGAAGUAAUUUGUACUGUCACUACUGGAAACAGGUCAUUUCAAUACAUGGGUCAUCACCCCCUCCCCCCAGAAACAGCAGUUUUCAGUGUUCCUAGAAGGCAUCAUUUGGGGAUUUCACAAAAACUUACUAGUUGGAUUCUUUCAAGAUACAGUAGGUUGAUGCCCUGGAAAUUCACUGUAACAAAUCUGUACUUAGGUGUGACUGAAUGCAUCUUCUUGACAGCUCAUGACCUACUGCUGAAGCAACUUCAAAAUACUUUAUUUCUUAGGGGAGACUCUACUUGUGCUAAUUCACAAAAUUUUCUAGGUUAGGAAGAAAGACUCUGGUUGACAAAGGAGUCAGUGGCUGCCCAGCCUGCCUACUCUCUUCAGGCAUGAAUUAAGAGUACUAUAGUAUAUACUUGACAGCUGAGAGUAUAUCAGUGAAAAGCGGUUAUCUUCCAUUAAAAAAAAAAAAGUAUGCACUGAAUUUUACUUGGUUGUUCUUGAUCUUCCCUGACUGAGGAAAAGGAACAUCUAAUGAAACACUCAGCCACACUUACAACUUAAUGCCACACUUCAUGGAAGACAGACAAUGUGUU